rnacentral:rRNA from 1 species
GAUGAACGCUGGCGGCGUGCCUAAUACAUGCCAGUCGAGCGAACAGACGAGGAGCUUGCUCCUUUGACGUUAGCGGCGGACGGGUGAGUAACACGUGGGUAACCUACCUCUAAGACUGGGAUAACUUCGGGAAACCGGAGCUAAUACCGGAUAAUAUUUCGAACCGCAUGGUUCGAUAGUGAAAGAUGGCUCUGCUAUCACUUAUAGAUGGACCUGCGCCGUAUUAGCUAGUUGGUAAGGUAACGGCUUACCAAGGCAACGAUACGUAGCCGACCUGAGAGGGUGAUCGGCCACACUGGAACUGAGACACGGUCCAGACUCCUACGGGAGGCAGCAGUAGGGAAUCUUCCGCAAUGGGCGAAAGCCUGACGGAGCAACGCCGCGUGAGUGAUGAAGGUCUUCGGAUCGUAAAACUCUGUUAUUAGGGAAGAACAAACGUGUAAGUAACUGUGCACGUCUUGACGGUACCUAAUCAGAAAGCCACGGCUAACUACGUG